rnacentral:rRNA from 1 species
UACGUAGGGUGCAAGCGUUGUCCGGAAUUAUUGGGCGUAAAGAGCUCGUAGGCGGUUUGUUGCGUCGGCUGUGAAAUCCCGAGGCUCAACCUCGGGUCUGCAGUCGAUACGAGCAAACUAGAGUGUUGCAGGGGAGACUGGAAUUCCUGGUGUAGCGGUGAAAUGUGUAGAGAUCGGGAGGAACACCGGUGGCGAAGGCGGGUCUCUGGGCAAUUACUGACGCUGAGGAGCGAAAGCGUGGGGAGCGAACAGG